GAUAACUAAAGGAAUCCCAGUGUUUGCCUAGCAAACCAGCCCCACCUUCUGGGGAGCUCAGACCCCGGGCAAGAUUUCAAGCACCCGUCAUACAAUAUUCAAAAAGUAUCAAAGUGCUUUGGACUAGCCCAGGAAACCAUAGCCCCAAUGAGACAAUAGCUUGAGAAGCCCCGGCUCCAGUAAUGCAGCCCAUCACCUAGGACAAAGACGCCAGCCAGAGAGGACAAGACUACUGGAAAGGAAGAAAAAUCAGGAAGGCCCAACUCACGUUGUUUGCAGCCCGGCCUGAAACGGAGCGGUAUUUCCCGGGAAUCAUGGCAGGAGACAGUCCAGGAUGUUCGAUCUUCCUUCGAGGCCGCUUGAAAACAGCGGGAGGAUCCGGACGAGGAUAAGAUGAGGAAGAGGGUGGACACAUCGGUGGUUAUAGCAACCGUGACUUCCGGUCCUAUCCUCUUUAGGACCCGCCUCAACACUGCCCGCGGGAAGUUUGAUUCCCUCUGCCUGCUGCUGCCUUUUUUCCUGGAAAAAUCGCAGGGAAGAGCUAGAAGAAGAUGCCCAUAACCUUCCCAUUUAGUUUGGCACUUCCACUAAGCCGAGGCAAAGAAGGAUACAACCCGACCCGGAGACAGUGAAGGAGAAGCCAGCUUUCCUGAGGCCCCUGCGGGCAGAGGAACUGAGUGCGCCUGACCGUCGACCUGUCAAAAUAUGACUGAAGAAGAAAGCUGUGAAGCUACUACUGAAGACAAGUCUUGCUAAUAAUCCCUUCCCUUACCUAACCUUCUUUUGACUGAUACUAGCUGCCUUCAAGUUCAUGUUCCUGGCGAGCUAAACUUCCCGUCAUCCCCUCACUGCAUGCCUUUCUACCCUCCCCCACCCCCGAUAAACACUGAUUACAUUUACCUUGCAUCUGAUUACCACUGUGUGCUCUCUUAAAAACUUCCAUGCCCUCUUUUGGGAAGAUCAAGCUUCUGCCCUAUUACCAUUAUGUGGAUUUAACAGUGGCUCCAUGACUGUGCAGAAGAAAUGUUUAGUUCUAAAUCUGAGGAAAGUUUGCCAAGAAGUCAGAUAUUCUGUAAUAGACAUUUUGGCUUUGAAUUGUGAGACAUGUAUAGAAUGACAGAGCUGAAGGCAACCUUAUUUCUCAACUACUCCAAACCCAUCUGUUUUACAUGAGGAGACUCAUCCAAAAAGUUAACUUCUUCCAGGGCCUGGAAUUCUUUUUUGUUUGUUUUGUUUUGUUUUGUUUUUCGAGACAGGGUUUCUCUGUGUAGCCCUGGCUGACCUGGAACUCACUCUGUAGACCAGGAUGGCCUCGAACUCAGAAAUCCGCCUACCUCUGCCUCCCAAGGGCUGGGCCUAAAGGCGUGAGUCACCACCGCCUGGCUGGAAUUCUUAUAGCUCUAAUCACUAGAACAAUAUUCUUUCUGUAAUACUGACCUGCUUCUCACAUCAGAGUGGAUGCCUAAAACCCUUUCUUUAGUCAUAUUCUAUCAUUUGGAAUGCAAACAUAGAAUUUUUGGAUCAAAAUUAUGAACACAACUUACACAUCCUUUCAUGACUUCUGUCCUUUCCCUACCACACCUAUUGUGUUUAAUACCACUGUCCUGAAGAGUUCAUACAUGGAAUGCUGACUUUCCUAGAUUUUGGUUGCUCUAUAUUCCUUCCUUUUGAGACUGUUCACCUGUUCCCGGAGUGGCUAGAGUUAACCCUUUCCCAGUUUCUGGCACCAUCAAUAAAAUCCUGUCCCCUUUUUAAAGCAAUUAACUCAAAUAUAGUUUCUUCUGAUCCCUGA